rnacentral:rRNA from 1 species
GAGUUUGAUCCUGGCUCAGGAUGAACGCUGGCGGCGUGCUUAACACAUGCAAGUCGAACGGGGAUUACACGGCGAUGCGAUUUCGGUCAAAUCAAGUGCAAUCUUAGUGGCGGACGGGUGAGUAACGCGUGGGUAACCUGCCUUGCACUGGGGGAUAACACUUAGAAAUAGGUGCUAAUACCGCAUAAGCGCACGGUCCUGCAUGGGACAGUGUGAAAAACUCCGGUGGUGCAAGAUGGACCCGCGUCUGAUUAGCUGGUUGGCGGGGUAAAGGCCCACCAAGGCGACGAUCAGUAGCCGGCCUGAGAGGGUGGACGGCCACAUUGGGACUGAGACACGGCCCAAACUCCUACGGGAGGCAGCAGUGGGGGAUAUUGGACAAUGGGGGGAACCCUGAUCCAGCGACGCCGCGUGAGUGAAGAAGUAUUUCGGUAUGUAAAGCUCUGUCAGCANGGAAGAAAGCAAUGACGGUACCUGACCAAGAAGCCCCGGCUAACUACGUGCCAGCAGCCGCGGUAAUACGUANGGGGCAAGCGUUAUCCGGAAUUACUGGGUGUAAAGGGAGCGUAGACGGCUGUGCAAGUCUGGAGUGGAAGGCGGGGGCCCAACCCCCGGACUGCUCUGGAAACUGUAAUGGCUGGAAUCCAAGACAGGUA